rnacentral:rRNA from 1 species
UGGGGAAUUUUGGACAAUGGGCGAAAGCCUGAUCCAGCAAUGCCGCGUGUGUGAAGAAGGCCUUCGGGUUGUAAAGCACUUUUGUCCGGAAAGAAAUCCUUGGCUCUAAUACAGUCGGGGGAUGACGGUACCGGAAGAAUAAGCACUGGCUAACUACGUGCCAGCAGCCGCGGUAAUACGUAGGGUGCAAGCGUUAAUCGGAAUUACUGGGCGUAAAGCGUGCGCAGGCGGUUUGCUAAGACCGAUGUGAAAUCCCCGGGCUCAACCUGGGAACUGCAUUGGUGACUGGCAGGCUAGAGUAUGGCAGAGGGGGGUAGAAUUCCACGUGUAGCAGUGAAAUGCGUAGAGAUGUGGAGGAAUACCGAUGGCGAAGGCAGCCCCCUGGGCCAAUACUGACGCUCAUGCACGAAAGCGUGGGGAGCAAACAGGAUUAGAUACCCUGGUAGUCCACGCCCUAAACGAUGUCAACUAGUUGUUGGGGAUUCAUUUCCUUAGUAACGUAGCUAACGCGUGAAGUUGACCGCCUGGGGAGUACGGUCGCAAGAUUAAAACUCAAAAUGAAUUGACGGGGGUCAUAGCUGUUUCCU